rnacentral:rRNA from 1 species
GACGAACGCUAGCGGCAGGCUUAAUACAUGCAAGUCGAGGGACAGCACAGGUAGCAAUACUGGGUGGUAACCGGCAAACGGGUGCGGAACACGUACACAACCUUCCUUUAAGUGGGGGAUAGCCCAGAGAAAUUUGGAUUAAUACCCCGUAAUAUAGUUGAAUGGCAUCAUUUGGUUAUUAUAGCUACGGCGCUUAAUGAUGGGUGUGCGGCUGAUUAGAUAGUUGGCGGGGUAACGGCCCACCAAGUCUACGAUCAGUAGCUGAUGUGAGAGCAUGAUCAGCCACACGGGAACUGAGACACGGGCCCGACUCCUACGGGAGGCAGCAGUAAGGAAUAUUGGUCAAUGGACGCAAGUCUGAACCAGCCAUGCCGCGUGAAGGAUUAAGGUCCUCUGGAUUGUAAACUUCUUUUAUUUGGGACGAAAAAGGGCCUUUCUAGGUCAACUGACGGUACCAGAUGAAUAAGCACCGGCUAACUCCGUGCCAGCCGCCGCAGUAAGAC